AGUCUUAUAGUCAAGUUGAUUCUAAAUUGCAAAUUUAGAGGUGGGUAAGUCCUAAGGCUU
rnacentral:tRNA from 1 species